rnacentral:rRNA from 1 species
GACUCUCUGGUCUGUACUGACGCUGAGGAGCGAAAGCGUGGGGAGCGAACAGGAUUAGAUACCCUGGUAGUCCACGCCGUAAACGAUGAGUGCUAAGUGUUAGGGGGUUUCCGCCCCUUAUUGCUGCAGCUAACGCAUUAAGCACUCCGCCUGGGGAGUACGGUCGCAAGACUGAAACUCAAAGGAAUUGACGGGGGCCCGCACAAGCGGUGGAGCAUGUGGUUUAAUUCGAAGCAACGCGAAAAACCUUACCAGGUCUUGACAUCCUCUGACAAUCCUAAAGAUAGGACGUCCCCUUCGGGGGCAGAAUGACAGGUGGUGCAUGGUUGUCGUCAGCUCGUGUCGUGAGAUGUUGGGUUAAGUCCCGCAACGAGCGCAACCCUUGAUCUUAGUUGCCAGCAUUCAGUUGGGCACUCUAAGGUGACUGCCGGUGACAAACCGGAGGAAAGUGGGGAUGACGUCAAAUCAUCAUGCCCCUUAUGACCUGGGCUACACACGUGCUACAAUGGACAGAACAAAGGGCAGCGAGACCGCGAGGUUAAGCCAAUCCCACAAAUCUGUUCUCAGUUCGGAUCGCAGUCUGCGACUCGACUGCGUGGAGCUCGUAAUCGCUAGUAGUCGCGGAUCAGCAUGCCGCGGUGAAUACGUU